GCGGUUCCGGUUCACGUCGCGGCUUCCCGCCCGGCGACCCGGCGGCC
rnacentral:ncRNA from 1 species